GAUGAUUUAAAUAGUGAAACCCGGUCAUGUGACGAGGACUCACUGGCUCCGUGUGUUUGCAUACGUGUCCUUCCUCUCUGCUCACACGCCUUAAGAGAGCUGAUCAGUGGCGGUCCAGGCCUCACGCACACUGGCACGCCGGCAGCACAAUGAUGAUGUCACUGAGUCUACUGCUGACCAGCCUGGGGCUCCUUGUUCAGGGUUCAUCAGGAGAAAUCCAGCUGACUCAGUCUCCUGGAUCUCAGUCUGUUCUUCCAGGACAGACUGUCUCCAUCAGGUGUAAAGCCAGUUCUGGCAUUAGUACCUACCUUCACUGGUACCUACAGAAACCAGAAGAAUCUCCCAAACUUUUGAUUUAUCGUGCCUCAAGUCGUCAGUCAGGGAUCUCAGAUCGUUUCAGUGGAAGUGGAUCUGGAAGUGACUUCACUCUGACCAUCAGAGGAGUUCUGACUGAAGAUGCAGGAGAUUAUUAUUGUCAGCAGGGUUACAGCCAGUUCACACAGUGAAACAACGUCGUACAAAAACCUCCUCAGCUGGAGAGGAACUGAUCCACUCAACAGCUGCACAGGAACACUUUACGUUUGAGUGACACUUCAUCGUUUUGUCAGGAAAUAUU